UCAGACGAUGCGUCAUGCAUAUCAAUAAGCGGAGGAAAAGAAACUAACAAGGAUUCCCUCAGUAACGGCGAGUGAAGCGGGAAGAGCUCAAAUUUGAAAUCUUGAAAGGUCACCUUUCACGAAUUGUAGUUUAAAGAAGUGUUUUCUGUUACGAUCGUAAUAUAAGUUCUUUGGAAUAGGACAUCACAGAGGGUGAGAAUCCCGUCUAUGAUUGCGAUUUGUAGCUUUGUGAUACACUUUCAAAGAGUCGGGUUGUUUGGGAAUGCAGCCCAAAACGGGAGGUAAAUUUCUUCUAAGGCUAAAUAUUGGCGAGAGACCGAUAGCGAACAAGUACCGUGAGGGAAAGAUGAAAAGAACUUUGAAAAGAGAGUUAAAUAGUACGUGAAAUUGUCAAAAGGGAAGCGUUUAACACCAGUGUUGUUUUCUGAAAAUCAACCUCUGUUAGCUUUAUGCAUGUUUGUUUAGACCUAAUCAGCUAUCUUGCAUGUUCUAUUGUUUGCAGUGGUGCACUUUUCAGUUUACAGGUCAACAUCAGUUUUUUUUACCGUAAAAAAGGUUAAAGAAAGGUAGCUCAUGGCUCCGGUCGUGAGUGUUAUAGUCUUUUUCCUAUGCGGUAGGAGAGACUGAGGUCUGCAGUGUAGGCUAUUUGGCUAGAUACUCAGGUGCUAUGUGAUACCAUUUCAUAAACAACUUGUUGAUUAUGUUUUGUCUAUUGCAUACUCGCUUGUACUAUCAUACCUACGCUUAGGAUGUUGAAGACUCUACAGAGAUA
rnacentral:rRNA from 1 species